GCGAGACACGUGCCCCAUCGGCCGAGUGCGACCGAUAAACUGUUCACGGUCGACGCCGGGCGCAGCCCCGCGCGUCGCCGCAAAUGAUCAGCCAGCAGCCGCUGCAACCACAGGGAG
rnacentral:sRNA from 1 species